UACGUAUGGAGCAAGCGUUAUCCGGAUUUAUUGGGUUUAAAGGGAGCGUAGGCGGGUUGUUAAGUCAGUUGUGAAAGUUUGCGGCUCAACCGUAAAAUUGCAGUUGAUACUGGCAUCCUUGAGUACAGUAGAGGUAGGCGGAAUUCGUGGUGUAGCGGUGAAAUGCUUAGAUAUCACGAAGAACUCCGAUUGCGAAGGCAGCAUACCGGCGCCCGACUGACGCUGAAGCACGAAAGCGUGGGUAUCGAACAGG
rnacentral:rRNA from 1 species